UGCGGCAGGCCUGGCUGUAGAGGCCAGAAGCAGCUAUGGGCCGGGCCCAGCCCAGCCCAGCCGCAGAGGUGGGCGGGGGCAGACGUGGCAGUGGAGAGGAGAAGCGGCUGGGCCUGGAAGUGGAAACUGAGGCAGAAGGUUGGGGGAAGAGGAGAAAAGUGCUUUAUCUAUUUAACACUACAGACAGCAAAUGAAAAUGUUUCUAUACAGUUCCAAGACAUUUCCCUCCUUAAUAAAAGAUGAUGGUGAAGAUUAGAACUGAUAUUUUGAAAAGGGAUGUAGGUUUUCUAUGCAAGUAUUUUAAAUAGCGCUUCCAAGAGCCAUUCAUCUGGAUUGCCUUCAAGCCUUUCAAAAGCAGCAAUUCCCCAACAGUAGUUCUGGUCCUACUAUCAGAUUACAGUAAUCUUGUGGGUAGGUCACCAUACCAGUAGUACUGAACACUUGCUUAUGCUAUUUCACAUCCAUUAUUUUAGAGAGUACACUUUAUGAUCCAUACCUGCAAU